UCCUGUUCAUGGAUCCUGUGAACCAUAAAAUACAAACGUGGCUUAUGUCAUGGCCUGCCCACUUGGGUUGUAAGACUAAGGCCUGACAAAUAUGUGU